CCAAGAAACAGAAGAGCGUCGGCUCGAUCGCAUUCAAGUUGUAUAUAUAUCAUCUCGAAGCUUCGCGAUACCCAAACCGUUCCCUCCCUGUUCUUUUAGCUCUCCAUCAUCUCUCCUUACUCGAAGCCGUCGACGUCCUCCGCCCUGUCGCCUUUCACCCCAAACCUAAUCUCUGGGUGCCGCCGCUGGCGAUAAUCUCAAGAGGUCAACUUGUCGAGAUGUUUGUAUAGGGUUGAGGUAGUGGAGAGCUAUUCAAAAUUCUGGGCAAACCUUAUUAUGUAAAAGUGUUAAAAGAUUUCUCUCGUUUAGAAUUUCAAAAUGUUAAGUUUAAUUUACGAUGACAUGAACUUGAGAUAAAUGGUUGAAGUUCUGAUUGUAUAAACUAUACAGGUUUUAUGGAUGUGAAUUUGACUGAA